UGUAAGAUCCUGAUAAGAUCCUACAGGAUCCUGCUAGGAACUUGCAGGAUCCUGACAAGAUCCUGCUAGGAACAUUGUAGGAUCCUGAAUAGGAUCCUGAAUAGGAUCCUGUAGGAUCCUGAAUAGGAUCCUGUAGGAUCCUGAAUAGGAUCCUGUAGGAUCCUGAAUAGGAUCCUGUAGGAUCCUACA
rnacentral:sRNA from 1 species